AAAAAUUAUUUCUAUAACGGCCUUUACACUCGCUACUUAACGAUAAAGGCCGUUAUUUACUGUUAAGUAAUGGUAACGGUCCAUUACCUCAUUUAUUAUUUUAAGCCAAAUGGGGGCAAUAUUUUUUUAAUGUGUUUUUUUUUUUUUUUUUUGGUCUUAAGUGUUUUUAGAUAUUGUCUCUCCCUGUAAUCAAAACAGAACCUCCAUGACCAUCCUUUUUCUUGGCAAGC
rnacentral:misc_RNA from 1 species